rnacentral:rRNA from 1 species
AUUGAACGCUGGCGGCAGGCCUAACACAUGCAAGUCGAGCGGAGCGGCGGACGGGUGAGUAAUGUAUGGGGAUCUGCCCGAUAGAGGGGGAUAACUACUGGAAACGGUAGCUAAUACCGCAUACUAUCGGAUGAACCCCUAUGGGAUUAGCUAGUUGGUGGGGUAAAGGCCUACCAAGGCGACGAUCCGUAACUGGUCUGAGAGGAUGAUCAGUCACACUGGAACUGAGACACGGUCCAGACUCCUACGGGAGGCAGCAGUGGGGAAUAUUGGACAAUGGGCGAAAGCCUGAUCCAGCCAUGCCGCGUGUGUGAAGAAGGUCUUCGGAUUGUAAAGCACUUUAAGUUGGGAGGCGUUACCAACAGAAUAAGCACCGGCUAACUUCGUGCCAGCAGCCGCGGUAAUAC